rnacentral:tRNA from 1 species
GCUCUGUGGUCUAGAGGUAAAAUACUUGCCUCAAAACCUCGGGGUCCCGGGUUUGACUCCCGGCCGAGGAACU